CCCGAGUGCUUGCACUCAAUUGGAAAGAGGAGUGGCGGACGGGUGAGUAACACGUGGGUAACCUACCCAUCAGAGGGGGAUAACACUUGGAAACAGGUGCUAAUACCGCAUAACAGUUUAUGCCGCAUGGCAUAAGAGUGAAAGGCGCUUUCGGGUGUCGCUGAUGGAUGGACCCGCGGUGCAUUAGCUAGUUGGUGAGGUAACGGCUCACCAAGGCCACGAUGCAUAGCCGACCUGAGAGGGUGAUCGGCCACACUGGGACUGAGACACGGCCCAGACUCCUACGGGAGGCAGCAGUAGGGAAUCUUCGGCAAUGGACGAAAGUCUGACCGAGCAACGCCGCGUGAGUGAAGAAGGUUUUCGGAUCGUAAAACUCUGUUGUUAGAGAAGAACAAGGACGUUAGUAACUGAACGUCCCCUGACGGUAUCUAACCAGAAAGCCACGGCUAACUACGUGCCAGCAGCCGCGGUAAUACGUAGGUGGCAAGCGUUGUCCGGAUUUAUUGGGCGUAAAGCGAGCGCAGGCGGUUUCUUAAGUCUGAUGUGAAAGCCCCCGGCUCAACCGGGGAGGGUCAUUGGAAACUGGGAGACUUGAG
rnacentral:rRNA from 1 species